GACGAACGCUGGCGGCGUGCUUAACACAUGCAAGUCGAACGAAGUAGCGAACGGGUGAGUAACGCGUAAUCAACCUGCCCUUCAGAGGGGGACAACAGUUGGAAACGACUGCUAAUACCGCAUACUGAAGGAGGGGAUUGCGUCUGAUUGGCUAGUUGGGGGGGAAACGGCCCACCAAGGCGAAGAUCAGUAGCCGGUCUGAGAGGAUUAACGGCGAAAUCGGGACUGAGAAACGGCCCAGACUCCUACGGGAGGCAGCAGUGGGGAAUCUUCCGCAAUGGACGAAAGGCUGACGGAGCAACGCCGCGUGGGUGAUGACGGCCUUCGGGUUGGAAAGCUCUGUUAAUCGGGACGCGGUACCGGAAUAGAAAGCCACGGCUAACUACGUGCCAGCAGCCGCGGUAAUAC
rnacentral:rRNA from 1 species